rnacentral:rRNA from 1 species
CACGUAGGGGCGAGCGUUGUCCGGAAUUACUGGGCGUAAAGGGCGCGCAGGCUGUUAUGCGAGUCUGCUGUGAAAUGUACCGGCUCAACCGGUGCCUUGCGGCGGAUACUGCAUAGCUGGAGUACUGGAGAGGGAAGUGGAAUUCCCGGUGUAGUGGUGAAAUGCGUAGAUAUCGCGAGGAACUCCGAUUGCGCAGGCAGCUUACUAAACCAUAACUGACGCUCAGGCACGAAGGCGUGGGGAUCAAACAGGAUUA